AGAGUUGAUCAUGGCUCAGAACGAACGCUGGCGGCAUGGAUUAGGCAUGCAAGUCGAACGGUGCAGCAAUGCAUAGUGGCGCAAGGGUGAGGAACGCGUGAGUAAUCUGCCCUCAAGUUGGGAACAGCUUCUGGAAACGGAAAUUAAUACCGAAUGUGACCUGUAGGAGGCAUCUUUUGCAGGUUAAAGGCCGCAAGGUCGCUUGAGGAGGGGCUCGCGUCCCAUUAUGCUAGUUGGUGAGGUAACGGCCCACCAAGGCGAAGAUGGGUAGCUGGUCCGAGAGGACGAUCAGCCACACUGGGACUGAGAACUGCCCAGACUCCUACGGGAGGCUGCAGUCGAGAAUUUUGGGCAAUGGACGAAAGUCUGACCCAGCCAAUGCCGCGUGCGGGAUGAAGGUCUUCGGAUUGUAAACCGCUGUCAAGUGGGACGAAACAAAUGACGGUACCGCUGAAGGAAGUCACGGCUAACUACGUGCCAGCAGCAGC
rnacentral:rRNA from 1 species